rnacentral:rRNA from 1 species
UACGUAGGGGGCAAGCGUUGUCCGGAUUUAUUGGGCGUAAAGAGCGUGUAGGCGGCCAGAUAGGUCAGCUGUGAAAACUCGAGGCUCAACCUCGAGAUGUCGGCUGAAACUAUCUGGCUAGAGUCCGGAAGAGGAGAAUGGAAUUCCCGGUGUAGCGGUGAAAUGCGCAGAUAUCGGGAAGAACACCCGUGGCGAAGGCGGUUCUCUGGGACGGUACUGACGCUGAGACGCGAAAGCGUGGGGAGCGAACAGG